rnacentral:rRNA from 1 species
AUGGACAUAGGCAAGUUGCAGCUUUUGCAGACACUGGAUAUAAGAGACACUAGUAUAAAAGAAUUACCUGCAAGUGUUGUUCAGCUCAGAAAUUUGAUAUGCCUACGUGUCAAUUAUAGGGUGAGGCCGCCAAAAGGAAUGGGGAGCUUGAUGUCCCUUGAAGUGCUGGAACAAGUAGGCUUACCCUCAUCUCCUCACAUUGCGGAAGAGCUGAUUCAUCUGACAGAGGUUAGGACACUCAGUAUUGACUGUGCUAACAUGAACGAGGAUUUGAUUGAUAUAUUAAUCAAGUCUCUAGGCAACCUGCACAAAUUGCAAAAUUUGUCUAUUAUUUAUGGUGGCGGAUUGAUAGAUCGCAUGCGUGAAAGCUGGGUGCCCCCUCCAAACCUCCGUAGUUUUUAUUCAUGGUGUCCCUCUUUUCCUGCGUGGUUCUCGAGACUUCCAAAGUGGGUUAAUUCAAGUUCGCUUCCCCACCUCUCCACCAUGAAAAUAGAUGUGGAAGAACUGCAAGGGGAUGACAUUCGGAUCAUUGGGAUGCUGCCUGCUCUUCGGUUUCUGCGACUUGCUGCAAAACGCGUGAUGGGAAGGUUGGUUGUGAGGGCCAAUGCAUUCCCAUCUGCGAGAAGCUGCGUAUUCAGAGGGUUUCUGACACCGCCGUGCCUUUUUCCACCUGGAGCUAUGCCAAGGGUUCAACGCCUUGACUUCAAGGUCUCUGCGCGGUCGAUCGCGAGUGGUCAGGUUGACUGCGGCAUGGGCCACCUCCCUUCUCUCGAGCAUGUCCGGGUUUCUCUGUGGUGUGAGAAUUCCAGCGAUGAAGAGAUGGAGACAGCCAAGGCUUGGCUGAGGCGCGCAGCAGAAGCCCAUCCAAAAUGUCCCACCAUUCAAAUCCAUGGCUUGAACAAAAUCCUGGAGUCAGGUACUGUAAUUCCAUCAGUUGCUGUGAAUGUUGUUCCAACAUUCCGAUAG